CAAAUCAAGAUCACAACAGUAUAACGUUCACUUGAGACUUUGAGAGCUUGAACCACCAAAUACUGGAAGAAGACUAUGUGUAGAAAGACUCUUUGAAAAUGGUUAAAGAAGAGUGAGAAUCGGGAUCAGGUUGGAUCUAACCAUUGUUGUAGUCAACCAUUAUAGGAAACUUUUUUCAAGACUCACUGAGUCACUGUCGUCCUCAAAAACAGUAUGCUUAUUUAUCGGCCUCAACAAUUCAAGCGCCGUCAAACCUUCUCGCAACAACCACCACCAAACAACUCAUUGCCUCUCCCCAUCCACAGGCGAGGAAGCACCGAUCACCGUAAGCGGUCACAAGUAUGAGAAAUAGGAAUGAAACAUCUGUGAGAAAACAUGCAUGAUCCUUGCAUCCCAACCACCACAAAAGUCAAAACAACUCUGGAGACAUUAAGACACUCAUGAUCCACCACAUUGAUCUGCCAUUUAGAACAAUUCUAGCCCAAAGAUAAAGCGCUAGCCGAAAGAAAGAAAGAAGAAAGAGGUGG
rnacentral:lncRNA from 1 species